GGUACCCACAUUGAAGAAAGAUAGUCUAGUCAUCAACGUCGAAUCAGAUGAAUGAGAUUUGAUGAUGUCCGAUAAUAAAUAAGAGUUCAAUCGGCGCCCUUUCAAGAGCUUUUUCCCUUCAUAAUGACAAUUGAAAUCGGGGCAAGUUCACCGGGAAGGCUUCGGGUAAAGGUAAAGUCGGGCAAGGAGUUCGCAAAGAGUCAUAGCAGAGCCAGCGCGAAGGAUCAAAGGCUGAGUAAGUGACGGGCUUUUCCCUCUCUCUCCCCCCUCCGCGAUUUGACUUAAAGCCUUACGAUGGGGUCCUUCAAACUAUCGGAGAUGCCUUGUCAUCACAUCCACUACUUCGUCCCUUUCUAUACCGAGCCGUACCGUAACAUACCGUACGGGGGUCACGUCCUCUCUCAUUUUUGAAAGGGAUGAUGGGCAGCUACGUGACUCUUAAAGAUGCCCAAACAUCCGCGUGAUGUAGCUUCUACUCUGAUAGCAUGCGAUGAGCAAACCGGUAAGAGGUACUCGAAUCCGACGGCGUGAUCAAUCCUCUAUUUUGAAAGGGUUAGAGCCCGGUGAUUAGCUUUAGCUUCUAGAUCAGCAUCCGGUAAAAGGAGGACGGGCAGUGAGUUUAACAAUCCACUCUUUCUAUUCGCUCUAGCCAGGCUUUCAUCCGCUUCUACUUCAAGGAAAAGCAGUUUUUUCGAUACGAUCUCCCUGUCUCGCUGCACCGGCAUAGAGGGAAACUUCUUCUGCGUUUUGUCUAGGAUAACGAAAAACGGCUUUUGAUCGGUCCGCGUGGCGGAGUCGCAGCCCUUUGCGCGAGCAUUUUAGACUUUCUCGCGCAGCAGGAAAUCGAAAGCACGAGCUUCGAUCAACCAAUGAAGCAAGCUUUUUUGGUAGGGCCCUGGAACAGAAGAAAAUGCGAUUCCAGAAGUGUGAAAUGUUGGCAAUGCUUACCAGCCUAAGUGGCAAUCUGCUCCGCGUCUCAGAUGCACCGCAAACAGCCAAGAUUUAAUUGACACCGAUCGCGAAGCGGUCACUCGUAUAAUAAAUGUAGGAUCGCUAUAAUGAAUAGAUAAGAGAGAAAGAUUACUCAUGCCUUCACCACUAGCUAUAUCUCGAUUCAAGUGUAAGUUCGAAUCCCGGCAAGACUGGUUACGGGUUUCGAAUAGGCGUGAUCGAUAGGGUGACGGGACUGACGGGAAGGGCUAGCUCGGACUGCCUUUCAAAAGGGCUCAAACAGCGACCUCCCCCUCAUGGCAGGAAAGGCUAUUAGACAAGGUUUUCACACUUCUCUUGAUAUAUGUCUAGCGAAAUGUCUUGAGAUCACGAGGCUUAGUCGCGUGUUUGUGCGAAAGUCCGGAAGCUCAUGAUGCUGCUAAGUUGAAAGUGAGAGAGAGGCUCUUUUGGUAGAAUUCGUGGAUAAGCCCUAAUUUCACUCAGUUUAGCCCUCCAUUUCCCUGCCUAAGUCGAUCGGGAUGAAAGGGUGCCAUCGACCAUGAGGAUAGGCUUUCCAGGCUCAUUCAUAAGGACAAGGCCGGAGACUCUUUAGAGAGAGAGGUGUGAUCCGAGACUGAUUAGAAUUCAUUUUUCUUCUAAGUUGCAGAGAUUGUCUCAUUUAGUAGAAUUAGGUCGAUGCUUUGAGCCUUCUUACUCGACCAGAAGUCUUUGAUUUGCAGAGCGAUAUUUAUAGCUUUUAUUCACGUAUGCCGCUAAGGGGGUUUACUUUUUCUCCAAACAAUCUAAAAAUAUAGAUCCUGCGGCUAAGAUCUUUAUUUCUUCUCAUGAAAGGCCUGGUUGAAGUUGGUGAGCCCAAAAUGAGUUCGU